rnacentral:lncRNA from 1 species
CAGCACAAUUAUACAAAUAAUUUCAAAAGCAUUAGAUACACAAAAUUUACAGAAGCAUAACUAUCUAGCCAAUAAUCUAACAAAUAAAUUAAAUAAAACACACACACACACACACACACACACUAAAAUGAUCACCUUCGACACAUUCUUUUUAUCCAAUCCUUGUAUUCCACAUAAAACAUCAAUUAGUUUUGAGCACCAAGUUAAAAGCAGCAUAUGUGAUAUCGAAUCGAAUUUGAUCCAACUUACAUUCUAUUAGGCAUUCGCAAAAUAACAGUUUUGAAGCUAUAAGAUUAACAAUAAACAUAUACAUAAAGAACCCCAACAAUUCUGCAUUUGCCUUCACUUUCUUCCCAUUAGCCAUAAAAACAAAGCAACAGAAUUAGGUACGGGAAGAAAGUGGAUUGCAGCCAAAAAUAGACAAAAUGAAUGUCACUGCCACCAGUUUAUAGGAACUGCAUUUGCUUAUGAUAAAAAAUAUUCUAUAUUUGUUGGGUUGUCUUGAAGAUAAUAACACACAAAAUUAACAGUAAAGAAUGCGUUGUCUUCCUUGGAGUUUCCAGACAUGAUAUCAUGUACAGUUGCCUGCUACUCAUGGGAAUUUACAUUCAGCAAGAAGAAGAGAAAAUUCAAGAAUUCUUUGUGUUGAAAUAAUCAUAUAACCCAAGAAAUAUGACACCCAGCUCACGUCGAACAACAAAUAUGACACCCACCUAUAAUUUUACGGGCACCUAGCUCACAUCGAACAAGAAAUAUGACACCCACCUCACGUCGAACAAGAAUU